rnacentral:rRNA from 1 species
UACGAAGGGGGCUAGCGUUGCUCGGAAUCACUGGGCGUAAAGGGUGCGUAGGCGGGUCUUUAAGUCAGGGGGGAAAUCCUGGAGCUCAACUCCAGAACUGCCUUUGAUACUGAGGAUCUUGAGUUCGGGAGAGGUGAGUGGAACUGCGAGUGUAGAGGUGAAAUUCGUAGAUAUUCGCAAGAACACCAGUGGCGAAGGCGGCUCACUGGCCCGAUACUGACGCUGAGGCACGAAAGCGUGGGGAGUAAACAGG